rnacentral:sRNA from 1 species
GUAUGUAGAGUGCCUGGGAUUUUGUAGCCUCUCAAUAAAAUAGAAAACAUACCUGAGUGACUGGGGGGAGUUAAGGCCUGGAUCUUGUCUGCAAGGCCCCCAGCCAGCGUGACUGCCUUUUCCCUGUGCCCUGCAGAUAUUGCAGUGGGUGCCCCCUUUGAUGGUGAUGGGAAAGUCUUCAUCUACCAUGGGAGCAGCCUGGGGGUUGUCGCCAAACCUUCACAGGUGCUGGAGGGCGAGGCUGUGGGCAUCAAGAGCUUCGGCUACUCCCUGUCAGGCAGCUUGGAUAUGGAUGG